UUUCUUAUAAUGGCAGGUAAAUAAUCGAUGUAGUAUAAAAACAACUGUUUGGAAACAAUCGGACAUAGGAUUAUGUUGGGCAUAUUUUAAUAUGAACGUCUUUUCUUAUUUUAACAUGCUGAAUUCACCAGUACAGUUUAUGUUCUGAGAUAUACUCUGUAUAAAUCCAUGUAGCGCCUUUAAUAAGUUUAUUAUCAUAAAAAAUACAUAUACAGAAAAAUAGUCAUUUUUACAAGUGUAAGAGACAAUAUUUUACGACUCCUAAGGACAACUGGCAAUUACCUCUUUUAUUUGAACUGGCAAUUAAAAGAAAGAACUGGUCUAUUCAAAAUGGUAUCAUUUAAAGGAACAGCUUUCACAAUGGGUCUACGCGGUGAAAUGUAAGCGCCUACGAAAGCCAUAAAAGUUACAAACCUGGACGAUCCUCGUUUCAUGUAGGUUGAACGCAGAACGAAGGGGAAUACCUCGAAGAGACGGCUUCAAGCGUACAUCCGGAUGAUAUAAAGGAGAAGUCCGACUUUGCUCGGAGGAGCCAUUAAAUUUUAUUUCUUUUAUUUCACAUUCGAAGGAGAAAUUUUGAGGAGAAAGAAGCGGUAUCGUAAGGAAGAAUAAUUCUUCACUGGUAGGACUUAGUGGCUUGGAAAGAAAUUAUCUUCCGGUCCGUGCACUCGGCAGGAAACCUAAUGUCAGUCUUCCUGUCGUGGGAAUGUUCGCGGUCCGUAUCAAGGUCUGGACGAAUACGAAUCGAAUGAAAGCAACUCCUCCGCGAAUGAACUUUUCAUUUGAUUCUCAUUAUCCCAGGAUGAAAAACUAACCGUUCAUCUAUACAAGUUAUCCUGACCUUACUUAAAAUAUAUUUCCUAUUAUCCAAAAGAAAAUAAAUUUUCAAGCUCUCUUGCAAUUUAGAAACCAUUUAAAAAAGAGAAACGUGAUCGAGAGGACAGCUUAGAAUUUAGGAAUCGAAUAAUCGGAAAAGAAAUUCCGUCCACGUUUGUCCCGAAAGGAAAAAUUCAAUGCUCCUUUUUCCUGACGCUCGAACGAACAGCAUUCGUUCGCAUCUUUCAAGAAAUUGGAAGGGGAGAAAGCAUUGUCGUCGUGACAAUCGGACGUGGCGCGCGUGCCACGAUAGAAACGUGCCUCGAGUGGCUCCAUCAAUGUGAAGAGAAAAAAGAAAAGAAAGAAAAAGAAGAGAAGAGAAGAGAAGAAAAGAAAAG